rnacentral:rRNA from 1 species
CCUACGGGAGGCUGCAGUGGGGAAUAUUGGACAAUGGGGGGAACCCUGAUCCAGCCAUGCCGCGUGUGUGAAGAAGGCCCUCGGGUUGUAAAGCACUUUCAGUGAGGAAGAACGCCUGGUGGUUAAUACCCAUCAGGAAAGACAUCACUCACAGAAGAAGCACCGGCUAACUCCGUGCCAGCAGCCGCGGUAAUACGGAGGGUGCGAGCGUUAAUCGGAAUUACUGGGCGUAAAGCGCGCGUAGGUGGCUUGAUGAGCCGGUUGUGAAAGCCCCGGGCUCAACCUGGGAACGGCAUCCGGAACUGUCAAGCUAGAGUGCAGGAGAGGAAGGUAGAAUUCCCGGUGUAGCGGUGAAAUGCGUAGAGAUCGGGAGGAAUACCAGUGGCGAAGGCGGCCUUCUGGACUGACACUGACACUGAGGUGCGAAAGCGUGGGUAGCAAACAGGAUUAGAUACCCCAGUAGUC